CAGUAGCCACGGGAAUACAGAGGGUGCGAGCGUUAAUCGGAUUUACUGGGCGUAAAGCGUGCGUAAGCGGCUUUUUAAGUCGGAUGUGAAAUCCCUGAGCUUAACUUAGGAAUUGCAUUCGAUACUGGGAAGCUAGAGUAUGGGAGAGGAUGGUAGAAUUCCAGGUGUAGCGGUGAAAUGCGUAGAGAUCUGGAGGAAUACCGAUGGCGAAGGCAGCCAUCUGGCCUAAUACUGACGCUGAGGUACGAAAGCAUGGGGAGCAAACAGGAUUAGAUACCCCAGUAGUCCCUGUCUCUUAUAU
rnacentral:rRNA from 1 species